GUAAGGACAUAUAACGAUCUUUGAACUUGACGGACAGCUGUAAUCUUCUAUUUUCACCUAAGAGAGGGAGAGACACACAAACCAUAGUGCACAAAUAUAAUAAGAAAUAGUAAUAUUUAUUUGAUUGCACUCACACAAUAAUAGUUGUAAUCCAGCUUGUCACAAUACUUGGGGGAUAGUGGUGCCGGCGUCCUUCUUCCCUUAGCGAGUAGUGACAAAACAAACUGAAUAAAAACAGUCUAUGAACAUAAGACAAUAUAAAGACAAAAUAAUAUAAAAUAACAAGGUACUGUCGUGGUCCCUCCGCCCUACGCGUUUCGUCUCAAAACGAGACUUCCUCAGGGAAAAAUGAAGGUGUAUAUUACAGUCUGUUGAGUCCAUCUUUUAAAAGGUCGUAAAUUCCCGCCUUCUGUAUGGCCAAUCGGAAUGUAUCACCUGCGAUAGUUUAAUGCGUUCCAAGCCUCGUUUUCGGUUUGACCAUUCUCAGAGCAACUUCCGGUAUCGCGUGGAGCGCAAACAUGCGUUCCACGGCCGUAAAAGGAAAUGAACGAAUCCAUACAUGAAAAAAGUAUUAUAAAACAAAUAGAGAAAUAAAUCCAUAGGCAAAAAACAUCAUAGUACUAACAUUUUACAAGAUAAAUACAAG